rnacentral:pre_miRNA from 1 species
CUUUCUGUGUAGGUGGGGAUCGGUAGCAAUGCUGUGUUCCUCCAGGUAUUGCACUUGUCCCGGCCUGUGUGGAAACG